rnacentral:rRNA from 1 species
UGUGAUACCAAAGGAGCAAUCCGCUGAAAGAUGGGCUCAUAUCUGAUUAGCUAGUUGGUGGGGUAACGGCUCACCAAGGCUGCGAUCAGUAGCCGGACUGAGAGGUUGAACGGCCACAUUGGGACUGAGAUACGGCCCAGACUCCUACGGGAGGCAGCAGUGGGGAAUAUUGGGCAAUGGGCGAAAGCCUGACCCAGCAACGCCGCGUGAAGGAAGAAGGUCUUCGGAUUGUAAACUUCUUUUAUGAGGGACGAAGGACGUGACGGUACCUCAUGAAUAAGCCACGGCUAACUACGUGCCAGCAGCCGCGGUAAUACGUAGGUGGCAAGCGUUAUCCGGAUUUACUGGGUGUAAAGGGCGCGUAGGCGGGGAUGCAAGUCAGAUGUGAAAUCUAUGGGCUUAACCCAUAAACUGCAUUUGAAACUGUAUCUCUUGAGUGCUGGAGAGGUAGACGGAAUUCCUUGUGUAGCGGUGAAAUGCGUAGAUAUAAGGAAGAACACCAGUGGCGAAGGCGGUCUACUGGACAGUAACUGACGCUGAGGCGCGAAAGCGUGGGGAGCAAACAGGAUUAGAUACCCUG